rnacentral:rRNA from 1 species
UACGUAGGGUGCAAGCGUUGUCCGGAAUUAUUGGGCGUAAAGAGCUCGUAGGCGGUUUGUCGCGUCUGCUGUGAAAACUCGGGGCUUAACCCCGGGCCUGCAGUGGGUACGGGCAGACUAGAGUGCGGUAGGGGGAGACUGGAAUUCCUGGUGUAGCGGUGAAAUGCGCAGAUAUCAGGAGGAACACCGGUGGCGAAAGGGCGGGGUCUCUGGGGCCGUAACUGACGCUGAGGAGCGAAAAGCGUGGGGGAGCGAAACAGGG